CACGUAGGGACCAAGCGUUGUCCGGAUUUAUUGGGCGUAAAGAGCUCGUAGGCGGUCGUGUAAGUCGGGUGUGAAAUCUCCGGGCUCAACUCGGAGGGGCCACCCGAUACUGCUCGACUCGAGUCCGGUAGGGGAGUGGGGAAUUCCUGGUGUAGCGGUGGAAAUGACGCAGAUAUCAGGAGGAACACCGGUGGCGAAGGCGCCACUCUGGGCCGGUACUGACGCUGAGGAGCGAAAGCGUGGGUAGCAAACAGG
rnacentral:rRNA from 1 species